rnacentral:rRNA from 1 species
GAUCAUGGCUCAGGAUGAACGCUGGCGGCGUGCUUAACACAUGCAAGUCGAACGAAGCACUUUAAUCGAUUUCUUCGGAUUGAAAUUUUAGUGACUGAGUGGCGGACGGGUGAGUAACGCGUGGGUAACCUGCCUCAUACAGGGGGAUAGCAGUUGGAAACGACUGGUAAAACCGCAUAAGCGCACGGUGUCGCAUGACACAGUGUGAAAACACUCCGGUGGUAUGAGAUGGACCCGCGUCUGAUUAGCCAGUUGGCGGGGUAACGGCCCACCAAAGCGACGAUCAGUAGCCGACCUGAGAGGGUGACCGGCCACAUUGGGACUGAGACACGGCCCAAACUCCUACGGGAGGCAGCAGUGGGGAAUAUUGCACAAUGGGGGAAACCCUGAUGCAGCGACGCCGCGUGAGCGAAGAAGUAUUUCGGUAUGUAAAGCUCUAUCAGCAGGGAAGAAGAAUGACGGUACCUGACUAAGAAGCACCGGCUAAAUACGUG